rnacentral:rRNA from 1 species
ACACAUGCAAGUCGAGCGGAGUGAGGUGCUUGCACCUUAUCUUAGCGGCGGACGGGUGAGUAAUGCUUAGGAAUCUGCCUAUUAGUGGGGGACAACAUUCCGAAAGGAAUGCUAAUACCGCAUACGUCCUACGGGAGAAAGCAGGGGAUCUUCGGACCUUGCGCUAAUAGAUGAGCCUAAGUCGGAUUAGCUAGUUGGUGGGGUAAAGGCCUACCAAGGCGACGAUCUGUAGCGGGUCUGAGAGGAUGAUCCGCCACACUGGGACUGAGACACGGCCCAGACUCCUGCGGGAGGCAGCAGUGGGGAAUAUUGGACAAUGGGGGGAACCCUGAUCCAGCCAUGCCGCGUGUGUGAAGAAGGCCUUAUGGUUGUAAAGCACUUUAAGCGAGGAGGAGGCUACUGAGACUAAUACUCUUGGAUAGUGGACGUUACUCGCAGAAUAAGCACCGGCUAACUCUGUGCCAGCAGCCGCGGUAACACAGAGGGUGCGAGCGUUAAUCGGAUUUACUGGGCGUAAAGCGUGCGUAGGCGGCUUUUUAAGUCGGAUGUGAAAUCCNCCGAGCUUAACUUGGGAAUUGCAUUCGAUACUGGGAAGCUAGAGUAUGGGAGAGGAUGGUAGAAUUCCAGGUGUAGCGGUGAAAUGCGUAGAGAUCUGGAGGAAUACCGAUGGCGAAGGCAGCCAUCUGGCCUAAUACUGACGCUGAGGUACGAAAGCAUGGGGAGCAAACAGGAUUAGAUAC